rnacentral:sRNA from 1 species
GUGGGCCGCGAUGCAGGCGUAGCAUCGAUUUCACGACGGGUUCGGGAGUGACUGAUCCGAAGAGUCGGCGAAGAGAUGAAAG